GGACAAGUGAAUAAGUGCACAUGGCGGAUGCCUUGGCGAUUACAGGCGAUGAAGGACGUAGUAGCUUGCGAUAAGCUGCGGGGAGCUAGCAAACAAGCUUUGAUCCGCAGAUUUCCGAAUGGGGAAACCCACCCUUUUAGGGUAUCACUCACUGAAUACAUAGGUGUGUGAGGCGAACGCGGCGAACUGAAACAUCUAAGUAGCUGCAGGAAAAUAAAUCAACCGAGAUUCCCAAAGUAGUGGCGAGCGAAAUGGGAAGAGCCUGUACGUGAUAGUCGGACUGAUAGUGGAAUGCUCUGGAAAUGGCAGCCAUAGCGGGUGAUAGCCCCGUACACGAAAUCAGACCGGUGGUACUAAGCGUACGACAAGUAGGGCGGGACACGAGAAAUCCUGUCUGAAUAUGGGGGGACCAUCCUCCAAGGCUAAAUACUCGUAAUCGA
rnacentral:rRNA from 1 species